GCGGGCGUAGCUCAGUUGGCAGAGCGCUUGACUGUGGCUCAAGUUGUCGCGGGUUCAAAUCCCGUCGCUCGCCCCA
rnacentral:tRNA from 1 species